rnacentral:rRNA from 1 species
CACGUAGGGUGCAAGCGUUGUCCGGAUUCAUUGGGCGUAAAGGGCUAGUAGGCGGCUUAGCAAGUCGGGUGUGAAAUUUCCAGGCUUAACCUGGAACCGCCAUCCGAUACUGCUAUGGCUAGAGUCCGGUAGGGGACCACGGAAUUCCUGGUGUAGCGGUGAAAUGCGCAGAUAUCGGGAGGAACACCUAUGGCGAAGGCAGCUCGCUGGGACGUUACUGACGCUGAGACGCGAAAGCGUGGGGAGCAAACAGG